rnacentral:lncRNA from 1 species
AAAGUAUCAUUCCUUCAGAGCUCCAAGGCAACCAUGCUGUACCUGCCCACUGGAAAGUGGGCGGGGAUUAGGCCAGAAUCACUAAAAAGUUGUCUUUUCCUCUCUUGGGCUCUCUCCGGGCCCCUUUUCUUUUCUCCUCCUCUCCCUGCUUAUUUCCCCUCCUUCCAUUCUUACUCUUUUUCAGUGGGCUUGUCUGCCUCUCUCAAAUGAAGAUCUCCAUGUACCCUCAGGGGGAAAUCCAUUACAAAGCCACCAACCUCAGGCCUGAGGGUGCCAGAGGAAUCUAUAUCAAUCACAUCUAUUGAGUGCUUACUGUGAGCAUCGUACUAAGCGCUUGGAAUGGAAAAUAUAAUAGAGUUGGUAGACAAGUUCCCUGCCCAAACUGUCAUUUCCUGUGGUCCACCCCUCCUACCAAAUCACAUCCCCAGGCCUUCACUUCCUGCCCCAUGACAUCCUAUGUCUCCCAUCCUGUCCAAUCACAUUCAGCUGCUCCCUUUCUGGUGCCCCCUCAGAGCCCUGCCCCAAACCCAGGGGGAUUCCUAACCAACUGCCAAACCAUGACACGAGUUCCGGACUCCCCAACCAUACCCCCUGACUAGUUCUGAUGCCCUCUGCAACAGUUGGACAACUCCCUGAGCUGGUACAGGGCCAUGCAGCCCCGAGGGUUGGGGAGGAUAGGGAGGAAAAAGAAGAAUCGGGCUACUAGUGCCAAUCUACCUGGGCUCGAGUACAAGAUCUCUCAACUGACCAAUCCAGGCCCGAAGCCCAAUUCAUCUCGGACAGGCGGCUGCAGUCAAAAUGAAAGAAAGGGUUCUGAUGAAGCAGAGAGGAAGAGUUUCUCAGAAACCCAGCCAGGAGCCCGAGAAAAAUAAGCCAAGCUGUCUAGGCACCACUCCUGUCCAUAUAACUUUCCCAGUGGACUUUGGUUGAUCAUAAAAACAAAGCAAUGCUUUGAGGAGUCAGAGAAGAAGCCCAGGUGGGUCAAGUGAGACAAAGUGAGAGAUUCGCUCCAAUUGGGGAAGAAACCCAGAUUGGGAAGAGGUCAUGGGGCAGGACAUGGGUUGAACCUUGCUCUGCCCUGCCCAGCUGGACACAAAGGGAGAGACGGAGGCCUCUCCACAAAUGG